AUUCAAGCCUGUUAAAUAAACUGACCUUUUGGGCACCUGCAACUGAGUCCAAGUCUCGUACUGACAGGUCAGCCUGGGAGAUGGGAGUGUCAAGAAAGCGUACUUUGUCAACAUCUCUUAUCUUAGCCAGGUUGAGCCAGAGAUGGCGCUCCUGGACAACCAGAGUGGACAUCGCCAUCAUGUGCGAUGCCCUCUUGUUUCAUUAUAUUUUUGUUAUUGGUCCACUAUCACCUGCUCUGCAUUAUGUUAAUCACUCCUUCUCUAUUUAGUCUCCUCUCGUGUGCUGUCUGUUGUCAGAUCGUCGUGUUGUGCUCGUUUAUGUCUCAGCUCCAGCCACACCUCAUGUUUUGCCUGCACAGAGAUCGUGCUAGUUUUGUUUUCAUCCUUUAGUUUUGUUUUCUCCCUCUUCCUCCUGCUUUCAGGCAGCGCUAAUUCUCCUACCCUUCCCUUGCUCGCGAUCACCGAUCGCCGUCAGUGCUCUUCUUCGCCUCGCUGCCGGUGCGCCACCAGUUCCCCGCCUCAACAGCGCCCCCGCCUCUCUGUCAGUUUAUCUCGGCCUUGCUGUGGAUUUUUCUUAGUGGAAUUCGUCCAGGAGGCACUUCGUGAGCUGCUCCGGGCUGCCCUGUACCUGGAUAGUUUUUUUGUUUACUCUUUUUCCCUUUUUUUGAACUUCAAGCCUGUUAAAUAAACUGACCUUUUGGGCACCUGCAACUGAGUCCAAGUCUCGUACUGACAUGAAACAGGUAAGAUAUCUGCACUCGUGGUAUAUUAUAGUUUAUUAGAAACUAUUUAAAUCUAUUUGAUUUUAUUAAAAUAUUUUCAAAAUGCAUUUAUUCAAA
rnacentral:lncRNA from 1 species